UCUCUCUCUCUCUCUCUCUCUCUCUCUCUCUCUCUCUCUCUCUCUCUCUCUCUCUCUCUCUCUCUCUCUCUGUUCCCUACGAGUCCAGCCUCCCGGGACAUGUUGCGAUCGUGUACAGUACAGGUUCGGCCCAUGUCACUGGUCCCUUACUUAACAACAGGGCUACUACAGUGAUUCUUAGGUGACAGGUUACUUAUAAUACUGGUGUCACUUAACAACAUUGCUAUAGCCAGAUACAUCAAAAAGAGGUAUUUGUCAGUGUUAAGUAUUCAAGUGAAGUGUAAAGUGAUUAUCAGGUUACUUAUAUUACUGCUGCCCUACUUAACAACAGGGCUACUACAGUGAUUCUCAGGGGACAGGUUACUUAUAAUACUGCUGCCCUACUUAACAACAGGGCUACUACAGUGAUUCUCAGGGGACAGGUUACUUAUAAUACUGCUGCCUUACUUAACAACAGGGCUACUACAGUGAUUCUCAGGUGACAGGUUACUUAUAAUACUGCUGCCUUACUUAACAACAGGGUUACUACAGUGAUUCUCAGGGGACAGGUUACUUAUAAUACUGCUGCCUUACUUAACAACAGGGCUACUACAGUGAUUCUCAGGGGACAGGUUACUUAUAAUACUGCUGCCUUACUUAACAACAGGGCUACUACAGUGAUUCUCAGGGGACAGGUUACUUAUAAUACUGCUGCCUUACUUAACAACAGGGCUACUACAGUGAUUCUCAGGGGACAGGUUACUUAUAAUACUGCUGCCCUACUUAACAACAGGGUUACUACAGUGAUUCUCAGGGGACAGGUUACUUAUAAUACUGCUGCCCUACUUAACAACAGGGCUACUACAGUGAUUCUCAGGGGACAGGUUACUUAUAAUACUGGUGCCUUACUUAAC